UACGGAGGGAGCUAGCGUUGUUCGGAAUUACUGGGCGUAAAGCGCACGUAGGCGGCUUUGUAAGUUAGAGGUGAAAGCCCGGAGCUCAACUCCGGAACUGCCUUUAAGACUGCAUCGCUUGAAUCCAGGAGAGGUGAGUGGAAUUCCGAGUGUAGAGGUGAAAUUCGUAGAUAUUCGGAAGAACAUCAGUGGCGAAGGCGGCUCACUGGACUGGUAUUGACGCUGAGGUGCGAAAGCGGGGGGAGCAAAAGGG
rnacentral:rRNA from 1 species